GGGGGCGCAAUGGUUUCGACGGGGAUCGUGAGCCGAUGUAAGCGGGUAGCGGUGCGGAGCCGCUGAAAAAGCCGCAACCUUUAAAAUUAAACGACAACAAUACUGUUGCUGUUGCUGCCUAAUUAAGGCGGCCGUCUGACCUGGGAGUACCGCGGCCCGGGCUCGGGCGUCGACAAGCGGUGAACGUGAAUCGGGGGAUGCCCUGACCCCGGUCACGAUUAAAGGGAUACCGAAGCGCAUAGCCUGUCUGUGGGCGCUGCGUGGUGGGGAAUCCCAAAACACAGAAUACACUCGUAGAAAGCAUCGGUAAGUGGUUUUCGGACAGGGGUUCGACUCCCCUCGCCUCCACCA
rnacentral:tmRNA from 1 species